ACGUACAGAACCUUCCUCAGAGCGGGGGAUAGCCCAGAGAAAUUUGGAUUAAUACCCCAUAGGAUAGUGGAGUGGCAUCACUCAGCUAUUAAAGAUUUAUCACUUUGAGAUGGCUGUGCGUCUGAUUAGGUAGUUGGUGAGGUAACGGCUCACCAAGCCGACGAUCAGUAACUGGUGUGAGAGCACGACCAGUCACACGGGCACUGAGACACGGGCCCGACUCCUACGGGAGGCAGCAGUAAGGAAUAUUGGUCAAUGGACGCAAGUCUGAACCAGCCAUGCCGCGUGGAGGAUGAAGGUCCUCUGGAUUGUAAACUUCUUUUAUCUGGGACGAAAAAAGGGAAUUCUUUCUCGUCUGACGGUACCAGAUGAAUAAGCACCGGCUAACUCCGUGCCAGCAGCCGCGGUAAUACGGAGGGUGCA
rnacentral:rRNA from 1 species